rnacentral:sRNA from 1 species
UAAAAUCAGCUCCGAUGAUUGGUCCGUUC